AUCGGAUUCGGCGACAUGGUUCCUAAGACUUACCUCGGCAUGCUGGUCGGCUCCGUAUGCGCCCUGAUGGGUGUUCUGACCAUUGCGUUGCCCGUUCCCGUCAUAGUGUCGAAU
rfam:Steinernema glaseri strain NC unplaced genomic scaffold GLAS_6664, whole genome shotgun sequence.